rnacentral:tRNA from 1 species
GGGCCGUUAGCUCAGUUGGUAGAGCAGCUGACUCUUAAUCAGCGGGUCGGAGGUUCAACCCCUCCACGGCCCA